GGCAACGUGGCAUAGUAGUUUAAGCGCUGGAUUGUGACUCUGGAGACCAGGGUUCGAAUCCCAGCCCAGCCA